rnacentral:misc_RNA from 1 species
UUUUGUUGCAAAAAAAACGAUGAAGGAAUUAUUCCCUCCACCGUAGAUUAUACAGAACCACUAAA